AUUGAACGCUGGCGGCAGGCCUAACACAUGCAAGUCGAACGGUAACAUGAAGAAGCUUGCUUCUUUGCUGACGAGUGGCGGCCGGGGGAGUAAUGUCUGGGAAACUGCCUGAUGUAGGGGGAGAACUACUGGAAACGGUAGCUAAUACCGCAUAACGUCGCAAGACCAAAGAGGGGGACCUUCGGGCCUCGUUCCAUCGGAUGUGCCCAGAUGGGAUUAGCUAGUAGGUGGGGUAACGGCUCACCUAGGCAACGAUCCCUAGCUGGUCUGAGAGCAUGACCAGCCACACUGGAACUGAGACACGGUCACGACUCCUAUGGGAGGCAGCAGUGGGGACUACUGCACGAAGGGCGGAAGAAUGAUGCAGAAAUGCCGCGUGUAUGAAGAAGGCCUUCGGGUUGUAAAGUAAUUUCAGCGGGGAUGAAGGGAGUAAAGUUAAUACCUUAACUCAUUGACGGUACCAGAAGAAGAAGCCCCGGCUAACUACGUG
rnacentral:rRNA from 1 species